GAACGCCGUGUGCGGGGAAAUUCGCACGCACGGUGUGGAGUGGGGGAAAAGUUAGAGAUGAUAUCAAAGACUUACCUAUCACUAU
rnacentral:ncRNA from 1 species